AAAAAAAGAAAGGAAAGAAAAGAUUUACAAAAUUGUAAAAUCUUAAUGUAAACCACAAUAACUUGCUAUUUUUAAUGGACAAAAUAACUUGGGGGACCCCAUGAAAGUUUUACUUACAGACUGCAAAUCUGAUUUAUGAAAAAACAAAACGAACAAUAUAAGAUUGACAUUUACAAUUUUUAGUCAUGAUUUCUUCCUAUGUGGGUGAAUGUCAGUUGUGUGUACCCUAUGAAGAGCAGUUCCAAUUUCUGAUAUAUACUACCAACAAAAUAUCUCCUUAGUUUUUUUUUAAAUUAAAUUAAUGUUUAUGUAUUGCAUUGUAGGGAUCUCUCUUUCAACAACCUUACCAGUGAUCUUCCCAGUUCAUUUAUUGCAUUGACCAAUAUUUCUACUCUAACAACCAAUUAACUGGUUCUCUUAAUGUUCUGGCUAAUUUACCUUUGACAGAUUUAAAUGUUGCAAACAACCAUUUCAGCGGGUGGAUACCAAGAGAGCUUAUUUCUAUCCCUAGAUUUAUAUAUGACAGAAAUUCAUUUGAUAAUGGUCCUGCUCCUCCUUCACCACCAUAUACCUCGCCUCCCCCAGGUAGACCACAUAAUAAUCGAAGUCAUUCUCCUCCAAGGGCAGAUUCACCACAGGGAUCUGGUGGUCAAUCGUCCAAUCCAGACAAUGGAAAUAAAAAGGCACUAGCAGCUGGUCUGAUUAUAGGCAUAGCUCUAGGUUCUUCAUUGGUGGUCUUCUUUGCAAU